rnacentral:rRNA from 1 species
CGGCGUGCUUAACACAUGCAAGUCGAACGCGAAAGGGACUUCGGUCCUGAGUAAAGUGGCGCACGGGUGAGUAACGCGUAGAUAACCUGUCUUCAUGUCUGGAAUAAUACGCCGAAAGGGGUACUAAUACCGGAUAUUCUUGCUUUUCAUAAGUUAUGCAAGCAAAGGUGGCCUCUGCAUAUGCUACUGCAUGAAGAGGGGUCUGUGUACCAUUAGCUAGUAGGUGGGGUAAUGGCCUACCUAGGCGACGAUGGUUAGCGGGUCUGAGAGGAUGAUCCGCCACACUGGCACUGGAACACGGGCCAGACUCCUACGGGAGGCAGCAGUGAGGAAUAUUGCGCAAUGGGGGAAACCCUGACGCAGCGACGCCGCGUGAGUGAAGGAAGGCCUUCGGGUCGUAAAGCUCUGUCAAGAGGAAAGAAGUGUACAAUGGCUAAUACCUGUUGUAUUUGACGGUACCUCUAAAGGAAGCACCGGCUAACUCCGUGCCAGCCGCUGC